rnacentral:rRNA from 1 species
UGCCAGCCGCCGCGGUAACACGGGGGGCGCAAGCGUUAUUCGGAAUCACUGGGCUUAAAGGGUGCGUAGGCGGUUUAGUAAGUAGGGUGUGAAAUGCCAGAGCUCAACUUUGGCACGGCGCUCUAAACUGCUAAACUUGAGUGAGAUAGGGGUGUACGGAACUUCCGGUGGAGCGGUGAAAUGCGUUGAUAUCGGAAGGAACACCGGUGGCGAAAGCGGUACACUGGGUCUUAACUGACGCUGAGGCACGAAAGCCAGGGUAGCGAACGGGAUUAGAUA